rnacentral:rRNA from 1 species
CUCACUAGUCGAGUGACACUGCGCCGAAAAUGUACCGGGGCUAAACAUAUUACCGAAGCUGUGGAUUGUCCUUUGGACAAUGGUAGGAGAGCGUUCUAAGGGCGUUGAAGCAUGAUCGUAAGGACAUGUGGAGCGCUUAGAAGUGAGAAUGCCGGUGUGAGUAGCGAAAGACGGGUGAGAAUCCCGUCCACCGAUUGACUAAGGUUUCCAGAGGAAGGCUCGUCCGCUCUGGGUUAGUCGGGUCCUAAGCUGAGGCCGACAGGCGUAGGCGAUGGAUAACAGGUUGAUAUUCCUGUACCACCUAUAAUCGUUUUAAUCGAUGGGGGGACGCAGUAGGAUAGGCGAAGCGUGCGAUUGGAUUGCACGUCUAAGCAGUAAGGCUGAGUAUUAGGCAAAUCCGGUACUCGUUAAGGCUGAGCUGUGAUGGGGAGAAGACAUUGUGUCUUCGAGUCGUUGAUUUCACACUGCCGAGAAAAGCCUCUAGAUAGAAAAUAGGUGCCCGUACCGCAAACCGACACAGGUAGUCAAGAUGAGAAUUCUAAGGUGAGCGAGCGAACUCUCGUUAAGGAACUCGGCAAAAUGACCCCGUAACUUCGGGAGAAGGGGUGCUCUUUAGGGUUAACGCCCAGAAGAGCCGCAGUGAAUAGGCCC